CCCCUCAGGCAACUGGGCAGCGACUCCUGAAAUACAACAGCGUCAAUUCACCUACACUUAACCAGCCGAACAUUGAUUAAUCUGAAAACUCGAGAGCCAAAGCCCUAUAUUUGCGCGCGGGCAACUCGAUUCGCUUCUAACUGUCCCCAUGCAAGGUGUUGAAGCCGAAAUAGCAACUCUGGACCAAAGAAGGUAGCUUUUGUGGCCUCCAUAUCUUGUUCUGGAAAAGCCAUCAAAUUCCCCCGUUAUUGGUUAUUUUAUCAAACUGUUCACGCGAUAGUCCAAUACUUCGCCUCUCCGUGUUCCCUGUCCUCAUCUCAGCGCUUCUCUUUAUGCCCGCUCCACGAUACGAUACACCGGGCACUCAUUCGUACCCUCCCCCCUCCGCUACAAUUACCGUUUUUGAGCUCAUCAUGUAGUGUUGUUGUUUAUUCGAAACCACCUCAGUCACUUUGCAACAUGAGGGGGCCUUCAGUGAGACGUGGCUUUUCCUCCCGAGUGAACCUUGGGAUUGGUUUCUCAUGCUCUCAAAAAGGACCUUGAAAGUAGUCCAUAUCAUAUUUUGCUCUAUUAGCCAUGUUUUCUUUGCUGUUUCUUCUUCUUCUUCUUCUUCUUUUUUUUGAACGUGGUUUAUGAAAUCUAUUGACUGCUUUUUGAUGAAUUGUUACGUUAUGUCUUGGAUACCAUCUCUGCCUGCUUAUAUCUCAUUUUUUUUAUUGAUAUUCUCCUGUAUGUGCUGAGCGUUGUUGACCCUUUCUACUAUACCUCUUAAUCUACAUACCCUGCCCUGCCUCUUGUUUCUUUUCGUCAUCUCACCCUCAUCGCUCUCCUGCCUUUGAAUGAUUGAAUGAAUGUAGUGUGUGUACCCCUAUCCAUCACGAUGACGGGAUCUAAAGGGUUUCCUUUAUCUUCUACCGAUUGACAGCCAUAGUUUCUUAUUUUAAUACCCCUUGCAACUCCAAUCCUACUAUCUCGGAAUCAGCAUGUAACUAGCGACGGUUCUCCAUUGGGCGACCGUUGGAUAUACGAAAAGCUUCCAAUAUUCUCUCUAUGCGUAU
rnacentral:sRNA from 1 species